rnacentral:lncRNA from 1 species
GACAAGCACUGAAAGUGUGUGCGAGAUGCAGGCAGAAUGCUAGGUGGCCGAGUACUAGUUGCAUUUUUUAAUUGAGAGUACUAGUUCAAGACGUGGUGGGGCAUGUAGUAAGUUGGGACAUCUACGGUAGAAGGAUUUUUUUGUUUUCCUUUAUUUCCUUUUCUCAGAGAACUAGUGCUCCACUGAUGUCUGUCUGGAACCCCAUUACAUCUUGUUAGUGUAUCUUGUUAGAAUCUUUUCUCCAUUCAUGUGUCGCAAAAAAAUUUACACAUAAUUAUUUACCAUGGGGCACUAGACCUAAUGUUCAAAGCAAAAAAUUGCAAAGUAGUUCAAAAAGGUCAAUAAAAACGAAUUUUGCCCAAUUUUUUAAAAAGCUAGUAGUUAAAAUUUAAAUAACAGAGCGGUUCGAUGAUUAUUACAAAACUCGAAUUUCACUAGUUAUUAAAAGAUUAUAACAGGAAGUUCAAAUUAAAAAAACUGAGUGGUUCGAUGAUUAGAUACCAAAGAAGAAAAUAAACGUCACCUGGAAAAUAUUAACUCUCGAAGUUAAAAUUUAAUAAGUUGGAGAGUUCAAAGAAAAUGUUAUGGUUGUACAAAAAAAGCCCAUGGAUUUUCCUGUCAUCGAAAAAGAUACUCAAAAAGUUUGAAUUAAAAUAAUAGAGUCCUUCAUAUUUGUAACAAAAAACAUAUCAUCAAGUAUCAAUAAACCAGAAGGUCAAACUAAAAUAACAUAGUAGUUCAAAAAUAAAAGAGCACCCAGAAGCGGAUAUUUCACCAUUUCCAAAAAACAAAAAACAAGAAGUUCAAAAUUUAAAAAUAGACAAGUUCAAAAACCAUAGAAAAUGACUUUCGUCAUUUUUAAAAUUAAAAAACUCUAUAAUUUCAAAUUUAAAUAACCGGCGGUCCAAUAUUUAUUACAAAAAUAGGAUAUUUCCUUACUCAAUGAAAUAAUCAAGAAGUACAAAUUACAAAAAUAGAGAAGUUCGAUAUAAACAAACACUUUCAUUUUCCUCAUUACCAAAUAAUAAACCAAGAAUUUCAAUUUCAAAAAAUGGAGCGGUUCAAUAUAUAUUACAAAAACUCGAUUUUUUCCUAUUACUAACGAGUAAACUAAGAAGUUCAGCCUGAAAUUACCAAGAAGUUGUACAACGUUUAUUACAUUUCUAAAAAAUACACAAUGAAGUUCAAAUAAAAAAGGUAGAGUGGUUCACCAUGUAUUUAGAUGUCCAAAAACACAAAUAAAAUAUGUUAUUUUUGGUGUUUUAAAAUAAAUCUCUCAGACCAGAGAGAAGUUCAAAGUGAUAACAACCGGAAGUUCACGUAUUGCAUGGUGUGUGUUUCGUUACUUUCGUAUGCAAAAGUAAAAUAAAAAUGCAAACUUUUUGUUGCUAGAAGUUCAAGUGCUCGGCCCGGGAAAGUUCAGGAAUUCAUGUGAGAGAUUUUCAUAAUGUAUUAAAAAACUUUCCAAACGGUAUAUCAUAUGCUCUAUUCCAAAGGUUAUAUCACGCACUCUAUUCCGAAAACGGUUAAAACAAAUUGGUGUAUGUUGUUCAUAAUUAAUAUUGCGGGAUGUCUGACCUCCAAUUACAUGUUUUAAAAUGGCAAGAAAUGGCGUCCGACAUUCAACUGGGUGUAAUUCGAUGUGUACACAAAAAUGCGACAGAAGUUCAUAGUGAAAACAACGAGAGGUUCAAGUACUACAAGGAAUGCAUUUCAGGAGAGAAUAAAAGUAUAGAAAAAUAAAAGCUUAAAAAGUUUGUCGAAAGAAGUUCAAAUGCUCUGUCCGGAGAAGUUCAAAAAUUCUUGCGAGAGAGGUUCACCUUGUAUUUCCAUGUUCAAUUUUUUCCGUAUAAAAGUCGAAUACAAUUCUUUACUCAAAAUAUGAAAAGGUGAAGUUCAAAUUGAAAUAACAGAGAAGUUCGGAGUUUAUUAAAACAUAGGAUUUACCUGUUAAAAAAACAAAAAAACACAAGGUAUUUUUUGCACUUUUAAAAACAACUCAUAUACAAAAAAAUGGUUGGUAGAAGUUCAAGUGCUCGGCGAGGAAAAGUUUAAAAAAUUCUUGUGAGAGAGCUUCACCGUGUAUUUAGAUGUCGAAAAUACAAAAAAAAUACAUGUUGUUUUUUGUGUUUUAAAAUAAUUCUCUCAAACCAGAGAGAAGUUCAGAGUGAUAAUGAUCGGAAGUUCACGUACUACAUGGUGUGUAUUUCAUAUAAUAAAAAUACAAUAAAGUGAAAGUGAGUGAAGUUCAAACAGACAUGUCCCAUAAGUUCAACUACUUCACGCGGUGAAAAAAACAACACAUCAAAAAACAGCACGUCAAAAAUAGAGUGAAGUUCAAACAAACAUGCCCCAGAAGUUCAACUACUUCACAUAGUGCAUUUUCAUUCACGAUGAACGCAUAAAUCAUGAUCUCGCCAUUUCUUAAUUUACCUCAAAACGACAGCAAUAUCAUUUGUGUAAGUCCAAGUACUCGGUCGGAGAAAGUUAAAUAAAUUAUUGUGAGAGACGUUUGUACAAAAGGAAUAUUAUUUGUGUAACACUAACGAAUGGAUGAGAAAAUUACACACAAAAAUACGUCACAGAAGUUCAACGUGAAAACAGCAGGAAGUUCAACUACUACGCUGAAUGAAUUUUAGAUGAAAAACUUUUAAAAUUGUCGCGAGUAUGAAAAGAUGAUCAACACGGGAAACUUGCGUGCUUACAGCAGCUUUCCAUCGGUAUAUCACCUGCUCAAUUCCGGUGAAUGGAUGGAGAGUUACGAGCAGUGGUUGGAGACCUACGAGCAAAAAAAUCACGUGAAAAAACAGAGUGAAGUUUAGGUACACACUCCGAGAAGUUCAGGUUCUUCACGCGGUGCAUUUUCGAAGAAUCUGUUUCGCGAUAAAGGUAGAACGCAUGCUCUCGCCAUUUUCAAAAUUACUUAAAAAUGGCUAGGAAUCAGAGAAAACCAUCAACAUGAAAAAGUUCCGCAUUUUCCUUAUCCUUUCAGCGGUAUAUUAUUUGCCCCAUUCCGAUAAAGUUUUUAGAAAUUACGGCGAAAAUACGUUUUUCGCCAUUUUCGAAACUGACUUAAAACCAUAAAUAAUUGGGAGAAACAAUACAUACCAAAAAGUUUCGCAUUUGUUCAAGCUUUCCAACGCCAUAUAAUUUGCGGCAUUCGGACGCACGGUUAAAAAAUUAGCUUAAAAAUACGAACUCGGUAGGACUUGGACCAUUUUCUAAAUUACUCUUAAACCAUUCAAAAUUAGAAAAACUUUCAAGAUGAAAAAGUAGCGCAUUUUCAUAAGCUUUCCAACGCCGUAUCAUAUGCCUCCAUUGGAUUAGCUGUUUAGAAAUGACAUCGAAAAAACAAACUCAGCUGUUCGGUUUACGAAAUUUUACGUUUUUUCAAAUUACUCUUUAAACAUAGGGAAUUAGAUAAAACUUUCAACAUGUGGAAGGAGAGGUUUUACAGCAGCUUUCCAACGCCAUAUUAUAUGCCUCAUUUCGAUAAACGAUUUAGAAAUGCGAUCAAAAAUACGAUUCACGUUGUUUGUGCGAAGAAAAAACGAUUUUCAAAACUACUAUUAAACUGCUUAUAUUUUGCCAAAAAAUUAAGUUGGGUCAUGAUAUUGGUGUCAAUAGCUUUCCAACGGUAUAUCGCAAGCCCCAUUUCGGCAAUGUUGGCGGAAGUUCAACCUAGUUCACAGGGAAGUUCAACGUACUACUAGUGAGGCAGGUCAGGUUGUGAUCAGAAUAUUAUUCUGAUCCCGUGAUCGAUAUAUAUAUAUAUAUAUAUAUAUAUAUAUAUAUAUAUAUAUAUAUAUAUAUAUAUAUAUAUAUCAGAAAAGACCAAAUCAUCAUUGCGAAGAUAAACCUUGAGGACAAAUCAAUGUUGAAGACAAACCAAAUAUGAAGAAAAAGCAAUCAUGACGCCAAAAUGAAAAUCUUCGAGAAAGUUUGCUGGUGGCGUUACCCACCAUAUAGGAAGUAUUAGACCCAGACAUGGCGCACAAUUAUCGUGGCGCUCCAAAGUAAAAUUCCAUUUUAAUGUAUUCACACUUAUAGGGUAAGUCUUCAUUAACUGAAGAUAUACAUUACUUCGUGUGUUGCACAUCUAUGUCAUUGAUAUGCAUAAGCGUUAGGAUGUGUGUCCAAUCACAGGACAUUCGAGGAUUCUAAGAUAUUUAGCUCACACCACAGCUUGCAAAACCUCUUCUCAUCCAAGGGCUUUGUGAAGAUAUCUGCCAAUUGCUCUUCAGUGUUGACGUGAAUGAUAUCAAUGUCUUCUUUCAUGACAUGAUUUCUGAGAAAAUGAUGACGUAUCUGAAUGUGCUUUGUCUUCGAGUGCUGAAUUAAACUGUUGGCAAUCUUGAUGGCGCUUUCAUUGUCGCAGUAGAGUGGCACAUGCUUUAGGUGGAUGCCAUAGUCCUUGAGAGUUUGCUUCAUCCAUAGAAGUUGAUUGCAGCAAGAUCCAGCGGCAAUGUAUUCAGAUUCCGCACUGGAAAGUGAUAAAUAGUUCUGCCUCUUUGAAGACCAACAGACAAGAGAUCGUCCAAGGAAGUGACAUGUGCCUGAUGUCGACUUGCGAUCAACCUUGUCACCAGCAUAAUCAGCAUCUCAGAAUCCAACUAGAUCAAACUAUGAGCCCUUUGGAUACCAUAAUCCUAGUGUUGGGGUGUAGGCCAAAUAUCGAAGAAUUCGCUUCACAGCUAAGUGAUGUGAUUCCUUUGGUGCCACUUGGAAUCGGGCACACGUGAAAACGAUGAGCAUUAUAUCAGGCCUAGAUACACAUAAGUAGAGUAAAGAACUAAUCAUGGAGCGCUAUACCUUCUGAUCAAACUCUUUACCAUUGUCGUCGGGGCCCAAUUGGCCUUUGGUUGGCAUUGGCGUCGUGUACCCUCUGGAGUCUUGCAUUCCUAACUUAUUUAGGUAAUCUUUGAGGCAUUUCUCUUAUGAUAUGAAGAUGCCAUUUCUCUUAUGAUAUGAAGAUGCCAUUUCUCUACUGAUGGAUUUGAAGACCAAGGAAAAACUUUAGCUCACCCAUCAUGGACAUCUGAUAUUGCUCUUGCAUCAUAUGCCCAAACUCAUCACUAUAUCUCUUGUCAGUGUAGCCGUAGAUAAUGUCAUCCUCAUAGAUUUGGCAUACAAAAAAAUUCACCAUCAUAUGUCUUCAUGAAGAGAGUGGGAUCCAGAGAACUAGGUUUGAAGCCUUUUCUCUUCAGGAAGUCUCUGAGUGUGUCAUACCAAGUGCGAGGUGCUUGUUUGAGGCCAUAUAGUUUCUUGUUGAGCUUGUAUACCAUGUUAGGAUGCUUUGGGUCUUCAAAACCAGGUGGUUGUGCAACAUACACUUCUUCUUGAAUUCUACCGUUGAGGAAAGCACUCUUUACAUCCAUUUGGUACAAAAGAAUGUUGUUGUGGAUGGCAUAGGCUAGCAGUAUGUGAAUGGCUUCAAGCCUAGCCACAUGAGCAAAGGUUUCAUCGAAGUCAAUCCCUUCAACUUGUGUGUAACCUUGAGCAAUCAGACGAGCCUUGUUUCUGUCAACUUGAGCAUGCUCAUCUUGUUUGUUGCGAUAGAUCCAUUUGGAGCCGAUGAUAUUGUGCUUGCGAGGAUCUGGAUGCUUUACUAGCUCCCAUACAUUGCUUAGCUCAAACUAUUGAAGCUCUUCUUGCAUAGCUUGAAUCCAUUCAAGUUCCAUGAAGGCUUCAUCAACUUUCUUUGGUUCAGGUAUAGAGACAAAUGCAAAGUGCCCACAGAAAUUUGCUAGCUAUGUUGCUCUUGAACAAGUGAGUGGACCAGGUGCAUUGAUGCUUAUCUUCUCAAUUUGGACUUCAUUUGAUAUGCGAGGAUGUACUGGACGAAGAUUUUGCCCUUGUUGAUCAUUGUCUUCAUCUUCAGCAUUGGCAUUGGGCUGAGUAGUGUGUUCAUGCUGAUUAGGAACAGGAAUGAUGAUUUCCUCUUCAACAUAUUCCUAUGAAGGUAUGAUUUCUCAAGUACCCAUAAGCUUGGUAGAUUCGCUUGGUGUAGCUUCAUCUAGCACAUUUGGCAGAUGCUCUCUUUGCGAGCCGUUAGUCUCAUCGAACCGCACAUCCACAGUUUCAACCACUUUGUAGUGAAGGAGGUUGAAGACUCUGUAGGAGUGCCAAUCCUUGUCGCAACGAAGCAUAAAACCUUCAUGUGCUUUCGGUGCGAAUUUUGAAGUGUGAUGCGGAUCCUUGAUCCAACACCUAGCACCAAAGACUGUGAAAUAGCUGACGUUUGGCUUCUUACCAGUCAGGAGCUCAUAUGAUUUCUUCUUCAGGAACUUGUGAAGAUAAACAUGGUUGAUGAUGUGGCAUGUAGUAUGAAUGGCUUCAGGCCAGAAUUUCUAUAGAGUCUUGUACUCAUCAAGCAUCAUUCGUGCCAUCUCAAUGAGGGUUCUAUUCUUGCGCUCCACGAUGCCAUUUUGCUAAGGUGUGUAUGGAGCAGAGAACUCAUGUGUGAUUCCCAAAGUAUCAAGAUAAGUGUCGAGGCUGGUGUUGAAUUCUGUGUCAUUGUCACUUCUGAUGUGCUUGAUCUUGAUGCCAUAGUUGGUCAUGGUUGGAUUUGCGAAUCGUCUGAAGACAUCUGGCACUUCAGUCUUGUAGAGAAUUAGGUGCACCCAUGUAUAUCUUGUGUAAUCAUCAACAAUGACGAAGCCAUAGAGAGAUGCAGUGGUAGUAAGGAUAGAGUAGUGAGUAGGGCCAAAUAAGUCCAUGUGAAGCGGCUCGAAGGGACACAUUGUCGUCAUGAUUGUCUUCGAGGGAUGCUUGGCCCUAGUCAUCUUCCUGGCUUCACAGGCACCACAUAGAUGAUCCUUCUUGAACUUGACGCCCUUGAUGCCUAUGACAUGAUUCUUCUUCGCGAGAGUGUGCAAGUUCCUCAUGCCCGCAUGCCUUAGCCUUCGAUGCUAGAGCCAACACUCUGAAGCUUUUGCUAGAAGACAUACGGCAUGCUAUGGUCCUGCUGAGAAAUCUACCAUAUACAAAUCGUCUUUUUGAUACCGUUCAAAGACUAGAGAUUUGUCAUAUUCCAUAAGCACAAGGCAACGAUAUUUUCCAAAUAUCAUAAUCAUGUUCAGAUCACAAAGCACUAACACAGACAUUAAGUUGAAACCAAGGGAUUCAACAAGCAUCACUUUAUCCAUGUGCUGAUCCUUUGAGAUUGCAACUCUACCUAGGACCAAUACCUUGCUGUCACCGAUGUCAGCGAACGUGAUGUGACUUUUUUGGAUGGAUGUAGGGUUGAAUCCAUAAGAAGACUUCGAUCACCAGUCAUGUGGAGUGCAUCCACUCUCCAUAAUCCACUCAGUAGCCUUCGGAGUUGUACCCUACAGUGCGGUUUGGGGGAUAGGUUUCACAAAGAGAAGUGUGAAGCAUAAACAUUCGAUGAACAAGCAUACUAUUAAAGUUCAGAUCCAUGUUCGGGUAGAUAGGAUGAUUGUCAAGAAAUCCUGGGAUGAAAUACAUAGUAAGACCAUUUUGGCAUUUUAUCUUGCGUCCCACAAGAUGUUUUAGGUCCCCAGCAUAAGCAUCAGAAGGCUUUGAUUUCUGACAGGAGACCUUUCCCUGCAAAAGAAAGUUAAUUCUUCUUAACCACCCACAUCUUUAGGGGUGGCUUACAAGCAAUGAGUCUAAGUGCAGCAUCCGAGAACUUUUGCUUUGCAGCCCUAGAAAAUAGCCUUGUAGGCGGUGAAUAAUACUCAUAAGAAUAAGAAGAAAAGUUCUUGGUCUUGUGAACAUAGCGGUUUGAUGAAACACGCUCAUAUUCAUAAGUCUGAGUAUGGUUUCCUUGCAAAACAUUGGCGUUAGGGUGACCCUGGUGGGUCCUCAGUCUGUAUGAAUCCUUUGGACCAUAUGAAACCUUUGGUCUGGGUUUGUUUUUGUCCCAGGUGGUGUCAUGAUGACAUUCAGAGGAAGCUUCUCAAGACAACUUUUGGGCACCUAAAUCUUCUUCAAGGGUGUUCCAUUCCUGUAGUUAGUACCGAUAUACCUAGCAAACACUUCACCAUUUUGAUUCUUAAACAGUUUAUAAUUUGCAUCAAAGGAUUCAUCAAUGAUAAUACGGUUAGCACAAGUGAAGCCAGAUAAGGUAGAUGGAUCCACCGAAAGUCCCUUUGGAGCAACCCAUGUGGUUUUGGGGUACUACCCAGGCUUCUAGUAAGAACCAUCAACAUUCAUUCUACUCUCAAACCCAACACCCUCUUUUCUAGGGUUUCGGUUCAGAAUAUGUUUCCUGUGGACAUCACAUAGUGUCUAAUGCCCUUUGAGGCUUUUGUACAUUCCUAUUUCAAGAAAAGUCUUCAACCUAGCAUUUUCAUCAACAAUAGUAGUGGUAUCCUCAGAAGAGAGGUCACUUACCACAUCAUCAGUUGAAGAUAUUGCAAUAGUACCAACAGUACAACAUUCAGCAACAGAGAUAGCAUUAUCACGCUCAAGACAUUUUAAACAUGGUGGCUCAAAGUUUUCCUGAGCAGAACUGAUUUGUUGAGCAUGAAGUGAAUCGUUUUGUUUUUGAAGAUCUUCAUGAGAUGCUCUUAGAUUCCCAAGUUCUUUCUUCCUUUGAAGAUAAUCAUAGGAAAGCUUCCCAUGAGAGAGUCUCAUGAUGAAUUUCAAGUUCUUUGUACUUAACAUGAAGAUUUUUUAUGCCUUCAAUUAAGGACUGAGUUCGAUUCAUUUCCGCGUCCAACAGGUCAUCGCUUUUGUCUAGCAACUUUUGAAUAUGUUCCAUAGCAGUUGUUGUUCAGUUGCAAUUUUAGCAAGUGUUUUGUAGCUAGGUUUGGAUUCACACUCAGAGUGAUCUUCACUGGAUGUUUGAAAGUAAGCAUCGCGUGAGUUUACCUUGGCACCACGUGCGAUGAAGCAGUAGGUCGGAGCAGAUUCGUCCUCAUCAUCGGCUUCAGCGUCGGCAACGUGGCCAUUGUCUUCGGUGUUGAACAUGGACUUGGCGACAUAAGCCGAAGCUAGAGGCAGGCUUGCCACGCCUGAAUUAGACUCCUCCCCAAAACCCACCUCCGCCUCCUCAGAAGUAGACUCCUCCUUGCCAACAAAUGCACGAGCCUUGCUAGAUGAGCUCUUUUUGUUAGACGAGGACUUUGAUGAAUACCUUGAAGAAGACAUUGAGGAUUUCUUCUUCUUGUUGUUGUCAGAAUCACAUUCCUUGCUCUUAUUCUUCUUCUUCGUAGAUUCCUUGUCCCAUUGAGGACACUCAGAGAUGUAGUGGACAGGAUUCUUGCAUUUGUAGCAUGUUCUCUUCUUGUGGUCAUGAGUGGAAGCCUCAUCAUUUCUUGAGCUGGAUCUGGAAGACUUUCCGAAGUGAUUCUUUUUGGAGAACUUCUGGAACUUCUUUACGAGCAUAGCUAGCUCCUUUCCAAUGUCUUCAGGAUCCCCAGAACUGCAGUCGCAUUUUUCUUCAGAUGAGGAAACAACCUUUGCCUUUAAAGCAUGGGUUCAGCCAUAGUUGGCACCAUAGAUGUCUCUCUUCUCACAUAACUGGAACUCAUGGGUGUUGAGCCUCUCAAGUAUGUCAGACGGAUCGAUAUCUUUGAAGCCAGGACGUUCUUGUAUCAUCAGGGCCUAGGUGUCGAAUGAGCUGUCAAGAGAUUUCAUGAGCUUCUUGACGAUUUUCAUGCUUGGUGAUCUCAGUGGCACUAAGAGUGCGAAGCUCAUUUGUGAUAUCAGUGUGGUGAUCAAAUGUGAGAUGGAAAUUCUCAUUGUCGUUUCUCUUGAAGCGGUUGAAGAGGUUGCAAAGAACAUCAAUCCUCGAAUCUCUCUGAGUUAAGACGCCUUCGUUGACCUUGGAAAGCCAGUCCCAGACUAGCUUCACAGUUUCCAGUGCACUCACACGGCCAUAUUGUCCUUUGAUCAGAUGACCAUAGAUGAUGUUCUUAGCGAUGGAAUCUAGUUGAAUGAACCUCUUGACAUCAGCAGCGGUGACACCUUCACCGACUUUGGGAACACCGUUCUUGACGACAUACCAGAGGUCGACGUCAAUGGAUUCAAGAUGCAUACGCAUGUUAUUCUUCCAGUAGGGGUAAUUAGUGCCAUCGAAGACUGGGCAUGCAGCGGAGACCUUGAUUAUCCCUGCAGUCGACCUAGCUAAAACUCCAGGUGGUUAAACCAAAUCACACAGAACAAGGGAGCACCUGGCUCAGAUAGCAAUUGAAAUUGCUAGUUAUCGACUAGAGGGGGGUGAAUAAGCGAUUUUUAUGAAAGUCUUCAAAACACGAGGUCUUUAAAGACACAUAGAUGAAACAAACCUAUUGAUAUGCAGCGGAAGAUAGACUACACUAGACAAGCCAUAGUCAAGUAAGCAAUGUAGUGAAAGUACGAAGACUAUUAGUAGCUAGGUAGUAUAGAUCAAGAUGGGAGACAGUAUGAAGCCAAACAGUAAACAGUCUUCACACAGUGAAGUCAAUCAGAUCAGACAAGCAAGCAAUGACUUCAUGAAGACAAACUGAUAAGUAAAAGUAAGUAGGGGAUAGAACCAGUUGCUUGGUGAAGACAAGGAUUUGGUAGACCAGUUCCAGUUGCUGUGACAACUGUAUGUCUGGUUAGGGGGGCUAAGAUUUAACUUAGAAGACUACGUCUUCACCUUAUUCCCCUUGAGCUAAGGACAUCCAGCCCUCGCCCAAUCACUCAGGUAAGUCCUCAGGGUAGACUUCCAAACCUUCACAGACUUCGUUCACCGGCGACCCACAAUGACUCUUGGAUGCUCAGAACGCGACGCCUAACCGGCUGGAGCAUUCACAGUCCUUAAGUGUAACAAGUCUUCAGGUCACGCGAACAGAAAGACUUUAGUGAUGCCUAACACUCUUUGGCUUUGGGUGUUUUGGGCUUUGUCCUCGCAAGGAUUUCUCUCUCAAAGGCUUCGGAUGUGGGUUGCUCUCAAACGACAAAAGUCGGGCACCAACUCUGAGCAGCCACAAAUUUAUGGAUUAGGGGGUGGGCUAUUUAUAGCCAUGAGGCAACCUGUUCUGAUAUGUCCAAAAUGACCCUGGGUCACUAAGGAACCGACACGUGUACAACGGUCAGAUUUCAAACACACGCGGCAGCUUUACUUGAGCUACAAGCAAAGCUGACUCAUCCAGCUCUGGAUAAGAUUUGCUCUCAUUGUCUUCGCUCAAAGACAUAACAUUUUGGUUAAGCAUCACAUCAGUCACUCUGACUUUCUUCACUUGGACCCCACUUAACAAUGCGGUGGUUCCUAUGACUCAACAAAGAAGAAAAGGGAAACUACGAAACAAAUAUGUCUUCACACUCCAUAUUCUUCAAGUGAAUGUCUUCUCAUUUCAUAAUCUUCAUCAUGAAUGUCUUCAUGAACCACAAUUGUCUUCAAUGUCUUCACACAUUUUUAGGGGUCAUCUCUGGUUGGUAGACCGAAUCAAUAAGGGACAACUACCCGUGUUAUCCUGCAAUUCUACAAACACAUUAGUCCUUCAACCAAGUUUGUCAUCAAUACUCCAAAACCAACUACGGGCACUAGAUGCACUUACAAUCAUCAUCAUCAACCAUCCUCCAUCACCAAUUCCAUGAUGCUCAAUGUCGUGCGUGAGGAAUUCCAUCAUAGGCUUGCUGGAUGGUUAUGGGUUGGAUGAGAUUUAUGGUUUGAUCCCUAGUAUCCACUAUGUUCUGAGAUUGAUGUUGCCAUGACUGUCGGAUUAUGGGUUCCGGCAAACCGUUAUGAGGUUCCAACUCUGGGGUGCGCAAGAAGAACACUCUCUCCCUGUGACGCCCUCGAUUCUACCGUACACUAAUCAUACACGCAAAUGUGUACAAUCAAGAUCAAGGACUCACGGGAAGAUAUCACAACACAACUCUAGACACAAAUUAAAAUAAUACAAACUUUAUAUUACAAGCCAGGGGCCUCGAGGGCUCAAAUACAUAAGCUCGAAAACACAAGAGUCAGCAGAAGCAACAAUAUCUGAGUACAGACUUAAGUUAAACAAGUUUUCCUUAAGAAAGGCUAGCACAGAAGUAGCAACGAUCGAAAAGGCAAGGCCUCCUGCCUGGGACCUCCUAACUACUCCUCGAAGUUGAACUCCACGUAGAAUCAUCCUUGGGAUCCUCUGGCUCCUGGAUUCCAUCUUAUGAUUGCAAUAACCGGGAAAAGGGGAAAAGGAAGAAGGAAAGCAACGGUGAGUACUCAUCCAAAGUACUCGCAAGCAAGGAUCUACACUACAUAUGCAUUGAUAUCAAUGAAAUGGGUAGUAUCUAUGGACUGAACUGCAGAAUGCCAGAAUAAGAGGGGGAUAGCUAGUCCUGUCGAAGACUACGCUUCUAUUAGCCUCCAUCUUGCAACAUGUAGAAGAGGGUAGAUGGUAAGUUCACCAAGUAACAUCGUAUAGCAUAAUCCUACCCGACGAUCCUCUCCUCGUCACCCUGUUAGAGAGCGAUGUAACGCCCCAAGACCGUUGUGCCAGGUGUCUUCCAGUUAUUCGCUGUUGUUGCCUUGUCAUUGCUUGCGUGUCAUGCAUUGCAUAUCAUGUCAUCAUGUGCAUCACAUUUGCAUACAUGUUCGUCUCAUGCAUUCGAGCAUUUUCCCCGUUGUCCGUUUUGCAUUCCGGCGCUCCUAUGUGCUUCGGUGUCCCUUUCUACCUUUUUUCAUGUGCAGGUGUUAAACAUUCUCGCAUUGGACCGAGACUUGCCAAGCGGCCUUGGUAUGCUACCGGUAGACCGCCUGUCAAGUUUCGUGCCAUUUGGACUUCGUUUGAUACUCCAACGGCUAACCGAGGAACCUAAAAGGCCUUGUGUGUGUUGCAGCCCAACACCCCUUCAUAGUGGCCCAAAACCCACCUAAACCCCCUCCAUCAUCUCGGUCGUUCGAACACGAUCACGUGGCCGAAAACCUAUCACCUUCCCUUGGGUUUUGCAGACUCAAGGGUAAUCUUUAUUUUAACCCCCCCCCCCCCGGGCCAGUGUUUCUCUAAGUGUUGGUCCGAACAGAGUAGACUGCGGGGCCACCUCGGGGAAACUCGAGGGUUGGUUUUACUCAUAGGAUGUCUCAUUCGGUGUUGCCCUUAGAACGAGAUAUGUGCAGCUCCUAUCGGGAUUGUCGGCGCAUCGGGUGGCUUUGCUGGUCUUGUUUUACCAUUGUCGAGAUGUCUUGUAACCGGGAUUCCGAGUCUGAUCGGGUCUUCCUGGGAGAAGGAAUAUCCUUCGUUGAUCGUGAGAGCUUGUGAUUGGCUAAGUUGGGACACCCUACAGGGUUAUGAACUUUCGAAAUCCGUGUCUGCAGUUAUGGGCAGAUGGGAAUUUGUUAAUGUUCGGUUGUAGAUAACCUAAAACUUAACUUAAUUAAAAUGAAUCAACUGAGAGUGUGGCCGUGAUGGUCUCUUUUCGGCGGAAUCCAGGAAGAGAACACGGUAUCGAGUUAUGCUUGAACGUAGGUUGUUCUAGGAUCACUUCUUGGUCAUAGUUUCUCGACCGUGCCUUUGCCUUCUCUUCUCGCUGUCAUUUGCGUAUGUUAGCCACCAAAUAUGCUAGUCGUUUGCUACAGCUCCACCUCAUACUUUUACCCUUCCUAUAAGCUUAAAUAGUCUUGACCGCGAGGGUGUGAGAUUGCUAAGUCCCCGUGUCUCACAGAUUACUUCAAAACCAGAUGCAGGGACCGAUGAUACCGCUACAGGGGAUUCCAGUGAGCUCAAGUGGGAGUUCGAUGAGGACUCAGGACGAUACUACGUUUCUUUUCUAGACGAUCAGUAGUGGUGCCCAGUUGGGGCAAUCAGGGACUUUGUUGCAUUUGGGGUUGUUCUUUAUUUUGGUUCCGUAGUCGGACCUUGAUUGUAUCUCGAUGAAUGUAAUGAUAUUUUUGCUAUUGUGUGACGUGGCGAGUGUAAGCCAACUAUGUAUCUCUUUUCCUUAUUCAUUACAUGGGUUGUUGUGAAGAUUACCUCACUUGCGACAUUGCUUACAAUGCGGUUAUGCUUCUAAGUCGUGCUUCGACACGUGGGAGAUAUAGCCGCAUCGUGGGCGUUAUAAGUUGGUACCAGAGCCUUCCCCGACUUAGGAUCCCCCUGCUUGAUUGAAUCGUUGGCGUUGUUGAGUCUAGAAAAAUGUUUUGAGUCAUUUAAGAUUAUAUAUAUAUCAGAGAGUAGGAUUCUUUUUACUCCUCAGUCCCUUCGUCGCUCUGGUGAGGCAUCCUGACGUAGAGUUUUGAAUCUUCUCUUCUCAAAUUUCACUGAAAUUUUUUUUAGGAUCAUGCGGGUAUCUUGGAAUCGUUCCAAUGGUUUUGUGACGAGAACAUUGUUCUUGGUGCCUCCUGACAUUUAGGGGUUGUGGUAGUGUCACGGGGAGUUGAGCUCCGAGGUGUUACCGUCACAAUUUUAUCGUUGCAAUUCUGGAAUACCUGAGUUUCGCCGACAUCGAAAAUCUCUUUUAUGCAGUUGUUGGUGAGAUAACCUCGACGCCACCCAGUACUGGGGCGGGAGUUCGGGAGUAUUGCCAUAACUCGUAUAACGGAUGCUUUUCGAAGGUUGAGGUAAAUGAUUUCCGAAGGUUUCUUGGUUAUGUGUUGAAGGAUGGAUACAGCUGGAUGUAGGUAUUGUUAGUUUGGGUGAGAUAUUAUGCUUCCCCUGUAUCACCAACACCUGAUUGCAUAACCGGAAAGUUUCGGGAGUUUAUAAGUGGGAAUUCAAGUAGCUCCUAGGAUAUCUUUCCGACAUAUGUAUGAUAUGAAAUUGGGGUUCGACGUCUAGUGGUCCGCCUAUCCACGGUUGGUUUUAGAGUGGUCUCGUUGUGUCUUAAAGAGUCCUUGGCUAUGCUGACUCGGGGACGCUUCGUAUGUCAUGUGCACUGCCUUGUACAUGAUGGUGAUGUACGAUCGAGCCCGUGUAGGCCCCACCACAGAAACUUUGGACGAAAUCUCUAUCAUAUGUUUGUUCCGGCUUAUUCUGCAAGCCAAUCCUUUGUUUUUGUUUUGAGUUGUGGUAUUCGAGUUGCUUCGAAGUCAAGUGUUGAUUCCAUACCUUUCCUAAGUGGUGUUCCCAUAUUCCUAUGUGAAUACUAAUCCUUCAGGAUGAUCGAGAUUGUCAUGUCAAUACUUUUCAACUGGCGUGUUUCUCUUCAAGAUGUUCCUAUCAUUUGUCUCAUCCGCGAGAUCAACUCCAAGUCUUCUCAAUGUUGUUUGUUUCAUUCCUCCCAAAUUGUCUUUGUUUCCCCCCCAACCCACCCUUUUUCUUCAAGGACUCAGAUUUCUUAUUCAAGUAUCCAUUUUAUUCAUGUGAAGUCUCUCCAUUCUUUUCCGUCUAUGUUCUUAUCCGGUGAUUCUCGUGAAGAUGCUAAGGAUGCUACAAGUUCAUCAUUGUUCAUUCUCUUUCUUCUCCGAUGUAUUCAAGUCAAGCUUUGUUGAUCAUAUCCUUUCCUCGUUUCAAAUGUCUUCUCUUGCCGGUGCACCUCAUAAUCAUUUCACUUCUCGCUAUUCAAUUGUUCCGGAGUGCUGAAGAUAUCUCAGAAGGCUCGUCUUGUCUUUCAAGAUCAGUUCAACCUAUGUCGAGGUUGUUAUCUCAUUCAAGUCAUUUAAUUCAACCACUACAAUCUCUCUCUUUAAAUCAUUUCGACGGUGUUUCUCUUGAGUGGGCCCUAACCCACAGGUCUUUUCCCAGGAUCUUACCAGACUCUUCUUAUUUUCCUGGAGCUAUCCUCAAAUUUCUUUUCAAAGUUUGACGUAAAUAUGAAUCAUCAUCAGUCGAAUAUCUUUCCCCAAGAUCUUUCAAAUUAUUUUCAUCGUUGGCUCAAUCUUUCUCUUCGUCAUCCCGGAGUAUCUCAACAAUUCAUGGUGGUGUUUCUCAUCGUCUUUCUCUGCAUUUGAAGACCGAAGAAGAGUUUUUCCUCCAUAUCUUUUCCGUUCUCUUAGAGAUGCGUGAUUCUAGCUUGUUUCCAUCCUCUCACAAUUGUUUUCAAUUGUGACAAUUCUUUUCAACCAUCAGUAGUUUUCAGGAACCUUUGCCAGUUUGAUUCUCUGGAGCCCAUCAUUUUAGAAGACUUAUUCAUUCUCAAUUUUCAGCUCUUGUUCUCCAAAUCUUACCGGUGCAUCGCUCAAAUAUCUUCUAAUCAGCUCGUGAUCUAUUUGCUCUCAUGUAUAAAAUUCCCUAAAGUAUCUUCAUUCGUUUUCCAAUUCUUUCCGAUGAUUUGUGCUUUUGCUUUUUCCUUGUUCAAUUCUUACGGUGGUUCGUUCAAGAGUUCUCUUCCUUGGUUAUCACAUCAAUUUAUUCAUUGUUUCAAUCCUUCCGGUGGAUCAUUGAAGACCUUAUCAAGUUUGCGCUAUAUCUCUCUUAAUCCUUCCUACGAGAAUCAGUAGUGUGCCAAAUCCAUUGUUUGUCAUCAGAUUAAUUUAUGAAGGAUACGCAUAACAUAAUUCUUAUUCUUGCUUCAUUUAAAUGAUGGAUUCGUUCCUCUGGAGUUUGUUCGCAAUGACUAAUUCUCGUUGUCAAUUGUUCAUGAAAGUGCGUUAUAUCGACCAGAGGGGGGGUGAAUAGGCGAUUUUUAUGAAAGUCUUCAGAACAUAGAAGUUUUGAAGACAAACGAUAAAAUUAAACCUAUUACCAUGCAGCGGAAGGUAGACUACACUAGGCAAACCAUAGUCAAGUAUUCAAUGAAGUGAAAGCACAAAGACUAAUAGCAGCUAGGUAGUAAGGAUCGGGUAGGAAGAUAUUGUGAAGCCAAACAGAACACGCAGUCACUCAGUGAAGACAAAUGAUAGUACAAACAUACAAUGACUUCACAAGGAGUAACAGUAAGUAAAGGGAAGUGAAGAUGAAAGCAGUGACUCGUUGAAGACAAUGAUUUGUUGGACCAGUUCCAGUUGCUGUGACAACUGUAUGUCUGGUUGGAGCGGCUAGGUAUUUAAACCUUAGGACACACAGUCCCGGACACCCAGUCUUGAACACGCAGCUCAGGACACCCAGUCCUCACCGUAUUCUCCUUGAGCUAAGGUCACAUACACCUCGCCCAACCACUCUGGUAAGUCUUCAAGGUAGACUCCCAAACCUUCACAGACUUCGUUCACCGGCAAUCCACAAUGUCUCUUGGAUGCUCAUAACGCGACGCCUAACCGGCUGGAGGAUGCACAGUCCUCAAGUGUAAUAAGUCUUCAGAUCACACAGACAAGAAGACUUAAGUGAUGCCCAAUUCUCUCUGGCUCUGGUGGUUAGGGCUUUAUCCUCGCAAGGAAUUCUCUCUCAAAGGCUUCGAGGUGGGUUGCUCUCAAACGACAAAAGCCGUACUUUCAAUCUGAGCAGCCAACCAUUUAUGGUUGUAGGGGGUCGGCUAUUUAUAGCCACUUGGCAACCCGACCUGAUUUGUCCGAAAUGACCCUAGGUCACUAAGGAACUGACACGUGUUCCAACGGUCAGAUUUGAAACUCACACGGCAACUUUACUUGGGCUACAAGCAAAGCUGACUUGUCCGACUCUGGACAAGAUUCGCUCUCAUAGUCUUCACUCGAAGACAUAGGUUUUUGGUUUAGGCAUCACUUCAGUCAUUCUGACUGGUUCUCUUGGACCCCACUUAACAGUACGGUGGUUCCUAUGAAUCAACACAAAAGAAAAAGAACUACGAAAGAUCUAAGUCUUCGAGCUCCAUAGGCUUCAUAUAGUGUCUUCUCUUGUCAUAGUCUUUAAUGUGAAUAUCUUCAUAUACCACCUUUGACUUCAAUGUCUUCAUACAUUUUUAGGGGUCAUCUCUGGUAGUAAAACUGAAUCAAUGAGGGACUUCUACCUGUGUUAUCCUGCAAUUCUCACAAACACAUUAGUCCCUCAACUAGGUUUGUCGUCAAUACUCCAAAACCAACUAGGGGUGGCACUAGAUGCACUUACAAUCUCCCCCUUUUUGGUGAUUGAUGACAAACUAGUUGAAGUUUUCAACGGGGAAUAUAAUCUGUGAAAUUUUAAAGGAUAAGGAAUUGUCUUCAUAAGUUUCAAGGGCUCCCCCUGAAGAUGUGCAUAUAAGUUAAUUUGCUUUUGGAAUGCAAAUGCACAUGGCAGGUUGUACUUGUGGAGAUCCACUUCAACUUAUGAUGACAAUCCACUAUGCAUGUGAAAGUAUAUGAAGAUAAUGACAUGAAUAAUGGAAAAUGGACGUCUGCAGAAUGAGCUAAGUGCGGAAUUUAUCGUCGCACAUGCGGAAUUUAUCUUCGCAAAACAAGGUGGCAAAUAAGUAGCAGACGACCAUGUAGUUUAAGUGUUACAACUCAUAAGAACCAAAUGUAGCAAAAACGAGAGUUGUAAGCACGAAGCAAAAUAUAAAGCACCCGCCCAUAUGGACCCGCUUGAAGACUAUCAAUCUCAUAUGCUUCUCCCCCUUUUGUCAGUAAUGACCAAAAAGGUUUGAAGACAUAGAGCCUCUACUCGUUCCCAUGAGGAGUAGGUGAAGUAGCAGGGUUGUUGGUGUUGUUUGGCGGUGUAGAAGAGCUUGGAGGUGCUGAAGGAGGUGGCGGUGAAGUAGCAUCGUCUUCUUCCUCAAUAAUUUUGGCAGUCACUAUGGUAGCAGAGGAGGAGAACUUAGAGUCUUCAAGGGAUGGAGUUCCUAGCAGCACAGCCCUUCGAGGAGGUGUGGAGUCAAACUUGAAUCUCUCAGUGAAGCCAUCCUCUUGAAGAUCAGCUUCAGAACACAUCAUCGUGAGCCCUUUCCAUGUGCGGCGACAGGUUUCAUGGGCAACGAAAGCAUUCUUGGUGGCAAGCUUUCGAGUGCGAUUAACAUCCACCAAGAGGCUUUUCAUCUGAUGCUUCAGCCAGUCAUGAUGCCUAUCAUGUUUCUGAUGUAGAGCCACAAGAAGCUCUCGGUCGUUGAGAACACGAGUGCGCUUCUUGGGUCUUGGAGCAGUGGCACUGUCAGUGGCUUCAGUGGAAGCAGGGUGUGGUGCACGUGUAGUGCCAGCCAAAGGAUACACCCGAGAAACUGCUUCAACUCCUUCAACGUUCUGAGUAAAACUCUGAUGUUCUGCAUUCUGAAGACUUAGAGGUUGCUUGGCAGGCUCAGAAUAUAUGGCUUCAGUAGACAUGUCCAUGUCAGGCAAGAAGAUCCGAUGGUUGCGGGCUGAGGGCUGAUACAAGAUGGCGGAGUGUAGCUUGAUCAGCCGCAUGACCCAAGGGGCGUAGAACUUCAAACCAAACAGAUCAAUGCCUGAUGCAGCAAGUUGGCGUAUGAAGAAGUCAUGUGCAUUGAAGCAUUUGCCAUGAAGUAUAUAGAAGACCAAAGUCUUCAUUGCACCCUGAAGCUUGGCAUUUGGAGAGUGCCCUUUGAUAGGCCAGAGAGUUCGCCUGAUGAUGUGAUAGAUGGUUCUUGGCAGAUACUCAAGGUCUUCAACAAAGAACUCUGUGGGAUAAGCAGCAUCUUGGGGCAAUGGCUUCAUCAUGCUGAGCAUUUGACUCAUAUCAGGUUCUGGCCGCUGAAAGAUGCUCUCAAUAGCUUCAGUAUGCAGCUGACAGCCUUGCUCGAAGAGAUCACCAGGAGUGGGCAAGCCAGUGAGAUCAAUGAUGUCAAAUGCAUUGGCUUCGUGAUGAAUGUUGCCAGUCAUCCACUCCAGGACCCAAAUCUUCGGAUCUCUGCUGUACCCUCUGAUGUGAAGUGUGGCAUAGAAUUGAAGCAGCAGCUCUUCAUUCCAAUGCUCUUCGUCAGUAAUGUACGGCAGCGGUCCAACUUGCUUGAAGCAAUCUAAAGCCUCUUCCAGACAGGGCAGACCAGCUAUAGCUUCAACGUCAAGGCGCUUGUGUGGAAAGAUGCGACCUUGGUUGUAAAGAAUGCAAGAGUAAUAGCUUCGCUGAGGAUAGCUCCAGAACCGAUCAUAUGAUAUCCUUUCCCUCGAGUAGGGGUUCCUGGAGCUAUUGAAGAACGUGUUGUCUGCCCUGAAGCCAUUGAUGUUGAAGGAGCCAUGUGCUGAUGCAGGACCUGGAAACCAUGGCAGUCUUGGGAUUGGCUUCUGGACCUGAGGCCUGUGCUCAACAUGAUAGUCGAAUUGAGGACCGGUAGCAGACUCAGGAACAGAAGUGGCGGGAUCAGUGGCUUCGCUGUCUUCUGAUGCCUUUGUUGGGGAGGGCUCCACAUUAGCUUCAUUGGUGAUUGUGGCAGCCUCACGAUUUUCAUCCUCCACUUGACUAGCUAGAGGGUCGGUCACAAGCACAUUCUCCUAGAGAACUGCUUCUUGGUGGGACAGGGGAGUGGGAUCUUGUGGGACUCCUUCUGCGGCUGAUGCAGCCGGAAUGUCUUCAGCAGAGACUUGAGGCCUUGGACCUUUGCGAAGCCUGCGGAGCGCAGACGACGCCUGUGGAGUUGGAGUGGGCUGGGCCUCAUAGUCUUCUUCCUCUUGUGGGUGAUCCGCCCAUGAAGCAUCCUGUGCAAUUGGCGUCAGUGGACGACCAAUGCUGAUGAGUUUGCUGUUUUCAAACUGAGGAAGGACUGCACCAUCGACUACAUUGUCAUGAUGACCAAUGUCUUCAGCAGCAAAGGGAUCAACUGCUGGAAUGUCUUCAGCUUCAUGAGCCUCUGUGGAAGCAGGCUCAUGAAUUGUCAGUUGUCGUUCAGCUUCAGGAUAGACCAUAGAAAUGGGUUCAACUAUCAAGGGCUCUGUGGAAGCAGCCCGAGCUUUCUUGGUCUUCCUGUUCUUCUUGGAGGGGGCAGUAGGAGAGGCUUCAGAGUGUUUCCUCUUCCUGGCUUCAACCUCAGCAGUCCUUGUCUUCUUGAGCUCUGAAGCUGUUGACCGGCUUAUUGGCUUCGAGCCAGUCAGUCUAGUUGGGAAGACAAUCGGAACUGCUUCUUGCCUUGGUGCAUCAGGUUCAGCCGUAGCAGGCUUCUUCUUCUUCUUUGCGGCCAUCCUGGGGUCAAUGCCAGGACGCCCAAGUGCCUUGCGCUUCUCAGCCUCAUUAUAGGCUUGCACACAUCUGUCAGCCAGAGUCUUCAUGUGCUCACGCGAACCCUGAGCUUCUGCACGCUUCUUCACAAAGGCUUCCUUGAGCUCGUGCAUCAUUGUCUUGAAGUUCUUCACUUCUUGCACGCUGAGCUUGGCCAUAUGCUUCUUGAACUGAGCCUUUUCAUAGUCAAUCUUCUGCUUCAGUUCAACAAUGCGCUGGGCAAUAGCAAGUUCUGAAGCAAUGGCGCCUUGGAAGGCGACACUAAGGCCAAUGGGUAGCUGCAGAUCUUCAAAGCUGAUGUUUGGCGUGUCAAACCACUCGUCAAUGAAGUUGUGGAUGAUGGUGACAUCAAAGAGAGGCAGAUCAUUGAAGAUUUCUGCUUCUUCUUUGCUCUUGAUGAGUUGCUCAAGAGCGUCAUCUGCAAGAUCUUCAUCACUUGACAGAUCAAUGUCGUCAUUGCGCAGAAUGGCAGCAGCUGUUAGCUCUCGGCCAGUGUGAGGCAGAGGCAUCUUGGCCUUCUGGGGCUUGGAGACGCAUGAUAAGUCUUCAGACUGCACACUGUCUUCAGGAGGUGCAGUUGCCAGUGGCUUCGCCCUUGAGACUUUUGGUGAAGGGUCAGGUUUUGAAGCUUUAGGCUUCUUCAGCUUCUUUGUCUUCAGAGCUGCAGGAGCUUCUUCUGAUUCAGUGUCAGUUGCAGGCUCAUUCACUGCAGUCCCUUGAACUAAGAUGUAGGUGAUGAGGCCUUCAAGGUUGGCGAAAGGACCGAUGACAUUGGGUUUAGCAUCUAGUGUGCCAUCUGCCCUUGGUGCUGAGGGACCAGGGUUGAAGUCUAACCCAAAAGUCUUCUUGUUCUGCUUCGCUGAGUUCUGAGCAAACUGGAAGUUGCGCUUGAACAGAUUGUCGUCACGACACCAUAGAAGUGACGACGAGUGUGCAUCAGCAGGCUGUGGUCCACGGACCAUGCAUGGAUAGAAGCCUUGAGCAAUGGCUUCAUCUUUGGACCUGGGUAGAAGAUUCUUGAAUAGGAUGUCUCCCCACGGUCUCUUGAUGGCGCUUUUCUCAGCAUACUCCUGGGUCACAAAUCUGUAUUUGAACCAUUGUUCCGCCCAAUAUCUUCGAAUCCAUUGGAUUCGGGUCUUGCGCUAACUGUAAUCCUCUUCAGGAUCUGUCUUGUACAUUUCUGAGAGUUCAUCUGGCAGAUCUCUGGAGGUCUCACCACGACGCUUUCUGCCACCCUUCCUUGCUGCUUUCUCUGAAGCCAUAAACUUUAACCUGAAAGGCUUCAAGACGUUCAAAGGCUUCAAAGGUUUUCGUUUGCUGGACCAACAGGAACUGGCUUCGGGAGAAUUUAUGUGAUGCUGUAAGAAUUCUGCAAAUGAAUGCAGACUAUGAGAACCAAAGGAUUCUCCCACGGACAUGUACCUGUGACAGCAUUAAGGUGCGAGGGAAGGGGAAGAGGUCAUAUGCAUUCUCAGAAGAUUUUGAAGAUAAAUCAGUUUAGAAGACAUUCACUCACAGAUAAGAAGUUGGUUCCAGAUUUGUACGAAUCCACAGAUCAGUACAAGUGAGGAAUCUAACUUCUUUGUGAAGCACAAGUGAAUAUACUAGGCAUGUUAUGAGAUGCAGUAUGAGAGAGAUCUAGCUUGUGUGAACAGAAACUGCUUGUGGUAGAAAGUGACAAAUCCAUAGGAUCAAUGGUGCUGUAAAAAGAGGAAGUUUUAUUUACCACACUAAGAGCUGCUAGACGGAGUGUAAGAUGAGGCCGAGCAGUUUGAUCUUCCGUGCCCUAACUUGGCGACGGAGGACACCUACGGCGACGGCGGAGAGGACGAUGUCCGCGGUCGGCGUGAAGACGGCGUCGGAGAGGUUGCGGCAGCGAAGCGCUUCAUCGCCGGCGUCGUCGAGGGCUAGCGGUGGCGCUAGGGUUCGUGCAAGGGUGGAAGAAGAGAUAAUAACCGCUGUGAGUGUGUAUUUAUAGGUACAGGGGCGGCACUGUGCUAUUACACAGGUGCCCCUGGCGAUUCGCAUCUGAGGAACACGUGGCCAUUAUGCGGAAUUUUGGGGUUUGUUCCACGUCUCACGCAGGCCUGGAUUGUCGUGUGGUCGUUCCUACUUCUCCAGAUUUCAUGUGGAGGAAUGAGCAUUGAAAACGGACUUAAUGGUUGUCUCUGUAUCUUCUGCUGACAAGGACGCAGAGAAGACAUUCGACAGUUUCAAUAGAAUGCAUAUGACUUGGGGAGAUAGAGUUUGAGAUAGAAAGCAUAGAGAGGUUAGGGUCCGAUCACAUUCACUUAGUUCAAAAGAUUCAAUACGAAGACAUAGCUAUAAGUGAAUGUUGUAGAGGACAGAACACUAGUAUAUAUAUAUAUAUAUAUAUAUAUAUAUAUAUAUAUAUAUAAUCAACAUAGUGAAGAUAAUCAUGAAUAUAUGUUGAGAUCGAAGCCAAACCAAAUGUGAAGACAUUGCAAGGUAACGCCAUGAGUGAAACACUUCAAAAUAGAACGUUUGGUGGUGGCGUUACCCACCGUAUAGGAAGUAUUAGACCCAGACACGGCGCACAAUUAUCGUGGCGCUCCAAAGUCAAAUUCCACAUUAAUGUAUUCACACUUAGAAUGUAUGUCUUCAUUGAUUGAAGAUAUACUUUACUUCGUGUGUUGCACAUCUAAGUCAUCAAUAUGCAUAAGGGUUAGGAUGUGUGCCUGAUCACAUGACAUUUGAGGAUUCUAGGAUAUUUAGCUCACACCAUAACUUGCAAAACCUCUUCUCAUCCAAGGGCUUGGUGAAGAUAUCUGCCAAUUGCUCUUCAGUGUUGACGUGUAUGAUAUCAAUGUCUUCCUUCACAACAUGAUCUCUGAGAAAGUGAUGACGAAUUUCAAUGUGCUUUGUCUUCGAGUGUUGAACUGGGUUGUUGGCAAUCUUGAUGGCGCUUUCAUUGUCGCAGUAAAGUGGCACUUGCUUCAGAUGAAUGCCAUAGUCCUUGAGUGUUUGCUUCAUCCACAGAAGCUGAGCGCAGCAAGAUCCAGUAGCAAUGUAUUCAGAUUCAGCAGUGGAGAGAGAUACACAGUUCUGCUUCUUUGAAGACCAACAUACAAGUGAUCGUCCCAGAAAGUGACAUGUGCCUGAUGUAGACUUGCGAUCAACUUUUUCACCACCAUAAUCAGCAUCCGAGAAUCCAACCAGAUCAAACUCUGAGCCCUUUGGAUACCAUAAUCCUAGAGUUGGGGUGUGAGCCAAAUAUCAAAGAAUUCGCUGCACAGCUAAGUGAUGCGACUCCUUUGGUGCCGCUUGAAAUCGAGCACACAUGCAAACACUAAGCAUAAUAUCUGGCCUAGAUGCACAUAGAUAAAGUAAAGAACCAAUCACGGAGCGGUAUACCUUUUGAUCGAACUCUUUACCAUUGUCGUCAGGACCCAGAUGAUGUUUGGCUGGCAUUGGUGUUGUGAAGCCUUUGCAGUCUUGCAUACCGAACUUCUUCAGGCAAUCUUUGAGAUACUUCUCUUGAGAUAUGAAGAUGCCAUUGCGUUGUUGUCGUAUUUGAAGACCGAGGAAGAACUUCAGCUCCCCCAUCAUGGACAUCCGAUAUUGCUCUUGCAUCAUAUAUCCAAACUCUUCACUGUACUUCUAAUUGGUGCAGCCGAAGAUAAUGUCAUCCACAUAUAUUUGGCACACAAACAGUUCACCAUCAUAUGUCUUCGUGAAAAGAGUGGGAUCUAGGGAACCAGGUAUGAAGCCUUUGCUCUUCAGGAAGUAUUUGAGUGUGUCAUACCAGGCCCGAGGGGUUUGUUUGAGGCCAUACAGUGCCUUGUUGAGCUUGUAUACCAUGUCAGGAUGUUUUUGAUUUUCAAAGCCAGGCGGUUGUGCAACAUACACUUCUUCUUCAAUCUUGCCAUUGAGAAAGGCACUCUUCACAUCCAUUUGAUAUAGAAGUAUGUUAUGAUGAUUUGCAUAGGCCAGCAGUAUGCGUAUGGCUUCAAGUCUAGCCACAGGAGCAAAUGUUUCAUCGAAGUCAAUGCCUUCCACUUGAGUAUAUCCUUGAGCAACGAGACGAGCUUUGUUUCUGACAACUUGACCAUGCUCAUCUUGCUUGUUGCGGUAUAUCCAUUUGGUGCCUAUUAUAUUGUGCUUCCGUGGAUCAGGACGCUUAACCAGUUCCCAUACAUUAUUCAACUCAAACUAUUGAAGCUCUUCUUGCAUAGCUUGAAUCCAUUCAGGUUCCAUGAAGGCUUCUUCAACUUUCUUGGGUUCUGUUAUUGAGACGAAUGCGAAGUGCCCACAGAAAUUUGCUAGCUGAGUUGCCCUUGAACGAGUGAGUGGACCAGGUGCAUUGAUGCUAUCAAUUAUUCUUUCAAUAUGCACUUCAUUGGCAAUGCGAGGAUGUACAGGGCGAAGACUUUGCUCUUGAUGUUCAUUGUCGUUGUUGGAAGGAAUGUCUUCAGGCUGAGUAUUGUCUUCAUGUUGAUCAGGUGCUGAAAUGAUAAGUCCUUCUUCAGGAUGAGCUUCAGAAGGUAUAAUUUCUCCAGUUCCCAUUAGCUUGAUUGAUCCACUGGAUGGAACUUCAUCUAGCACAUUUGGCAGCUGCUCUCUUUGUGAACCGUUGGUCUCAUCGAACCGCACAUCCACUGUUUCAACCACUUUGUAAUGAAAGAGGUUGAAGACUCUGUAGGAGUGCGAAUCCUUUCCAUAUCCAAGCAUAAAACCCUCAUGUGCUUUUGGUGCAAAUUUUGAGGUGUGAUGUGGGUCCUUGAUCCAGCACCUUGCUCCAAAUACUCUGAAGUAACUGACAUUUGGCUUCUUGCCAGUAAGGAGCUCAUAAGAUGUCUUGUUCAGUAGCUUGUGAAGAUAAACACGACUGAUUGUAUGGCAUGCAGUAUCAAUGGCUUCGGGCCAGAAUUUUCUUGGGGUCUUGUAUUCAUCUUGCAUCAUUCUGGCCAUCUCAAUUAGUGUUCUAUUCUUGCGUUCGACGACGCCAUUCUGCUGUGGCGUGUACGGGGCUGAGAAUCCAUGUGUGAUGCCCAAGGUAUCAAGAUAUGUAUCAAGGCCAGUGUUCUUGAAUUCAGUGCCAUUGUCACUUCUGAUGUGCGUGAAGGCCUCAAUUUGAGCAUCUGACCACUGGAAUGAUUCUUUUUUUAGACAGUCAUGAAGUGGCCUAGAAUUUAUCCCAUAAUUCUUGACAAAUCUUCUUUUUCUGCAGCCAUACCAAGAAAACUCCUCAACUGAGUGAUAGUCUUAGGUGCUGGCCAUUCUUUGAUGGCAACUAUUUUGUGGGGAUCUUGGCGCCAAAAUUAUUCAUAGCUCGAUUGGCGAAGCGUCUGAAGACAUCCUGCACUCCAGUCUUGUAAAGGAUUGUGUGCACCCAAGUAUAUCUAGAAUAAUCAUCAACAAUAAUGAAGCCAUAGAGGCAAGCAGUAGUAGUUAGAGUUGAGUAAUGAGUGGGACCGAAAAGAUCCAUGUGAAGUAGUUCGAAGGGUCGAGUAGUGGUCAUGAUUGUCUUCGAGGGAUGUUUGGCCCUCGUCAUCUUCCCUGCUUCACAGGCACCGCAUAAGUGGUCUUUCUUGAACUUGACGCCCUCGAUGCCUAUGACAUGCUUCUUCUUCGCAAGGGUGUGGAGGUUACCUUGGCACCGCGUGCCAUGAAGCAGUAGGUAGAAGCGGAGUAGUCCUUGUCAUUUGCAUCGGUGUCGGUGAUGAAGUCAUUGUCUUCAGUGUUGAAGAUGGACUUGGCAACGUAUGUUGUAGCCAGACUUGCGACGCCUGAGUCGGAUUCCUCCUCAGAGUCCACCUCCGCCUCCUCAGAAGCAGACUCCUCCUCUGAAUCCAUUUCCUUGCCAACAAACACACGUGCCUUGCCAGAUGAGCUCUUCUUGUGUGAUGAAGACUUUGAGGAAGAUUUGGAAGAAGACUUUGAGUAUUUCUUCUUCUUCUUCUUGUCGUUAGAGUCAUAUUCCUUGCUCUUCUUCUUCUUUUUGUUCUCAUUGUCCCACUGUGGACACUCAGAGAUGAAGUGGCCAAGUUUCUUGCACUUGUGACAUGUUUUCUUCUUGUGGUCAUGAGUAGGAGCUUCAUCAUUCCUUGAACUUGAUCGGGAAGACUUUCUGAAGCCUUUCUUCUUGGUGAAUUUUUGGAACUUCUUGACAAGCAUAGCAAGUUCCCUUCCAAUGUCUUCAGGAUCAUCAGAACUGCUGUCAGAUUCUUCUUCAGAUGAGGAGACAGCUUUUGCCUUCAAGGCACGAGUUCGCCCAUAGUUUGGACCAUAGAUAUCUCUUUUCUCCGAAAGCUGAAACUCAUGUGUGUUGAGCCUCUCAAGUAUGUCAGACGGAUCGAGUGUCUUGAAAUUAGGGCGUUCUUGAAUCAUCAGGACCAGGAUGUCAAACGAACUAUCAAGUGAUCUCAGCAGCGUCUUGACGACUUCGUGUUUGGUAAUAUCAGUGGCGCCGAGGGCUUGAAGCUCAUUUGUGAUGUCAGUGAGUCGGUCAAAUGUGUGCUGGACAUUGUCAUUUGUCAUUUCGCUUGAAGUGGUUGAAGAGGUUGCGAAGGACACUGAUUCUCUGAUCUCUCUAGGUUGAGAUGCCUUCAUUGACCUUGGAGAGCCAAUCCCAGACCAGCUUAGAUGUCUUCAAAGCACUCACACGGCCAUACUGUCCUUUGGUCAGAUGACCACAGAUGAUAUUCUUGGCAGUAGAGUCCAGUUGAACGAAUUUCUUGACAUCAGCAGCAGUGACACCUUCUCCAGCCUUGGGAACGCCGUUGUCGACGACAUACCAUAGGUCGACAUCAAUGGCUUCAAGAUGCAUGCGCAUCUUAUUCUUCCAGUAGGGAUAUUCAGUUCCAUCGAAGACGUGGCACGCAGCAGAGACUUUAGUUAUCCCUGUAGUCGACAGAGCUAAAACUCCAAGUGGUUAAACCGAAUCACACAGAACAAGGGAGCACCUUGCUCUGAUACCAAUUGAAAGUGCGUUAUAUCGACUAGAGGGGGGUGAAUAGGCAAUUUUUAUGAAAGUCUUCAGAACAUAGAAGUUUUGAAGACAAACGAUAAAAUUAAACCUAUUACCAUGCAGCGGAAGGUAGACUACACUAGGAAAACCAUAGUCAAGUAUUCAAUGAAGUGAAAGCACAAAGACUAAUAGCAGCUAGGUAGUAAGGAUCAGGUAGGAAGAUAUUGUGAAGCCAAACAGAACACGCAGUCACUCAGUGAAGACAAAUGAUAGUACAAACAUACAAUGACUUCACAAGGAGUAACAGUAAGUAAAGGGAAGUGAAGAUGAAAGAAGUGACUCGUUGAAGACAAUGAUUUGUUGGACCAGUUCCAGUUGCUGUGAUAACUGUACGUCUGGUUGGAGCGGCUAGGUAUUUAAACCUUAGGACACACAGUCCCGGACACCCAGUCCUGAACACGCAGCUCAGGACACCCAGUCCUCACCGUAUUCUCCUUGAGCUAAGGUCACAUAGACCUCGCCCAACCACUCUGGUAAGUCUUCAAGGUAGACUCCCAAACCUUCACAGACUUCGUUCAUCGGCAAUCCACAAUGUCUCUUGGAUGCUCAGAACGCGACGCCUAACCGGCUAGAGGAUGCACAGUCCUCAAGUGUAAUAAGUCUUCAGAUCACACAGACAAGAAGACUUAAGUGAUGCCCAAUUCUCUCUGGCUCUGGUGGUUAGGGCUUUAUCCUCGCAAGGAAUUCUCUCUCAAGGGCUUCGAGGUGGGUUGCUCUCAAACGACAAAAGCCAUACUUUCAAUCUGAGCAGCCAACCAUUUAUGGUUGUAGGGGGUGGGCUAUUUAUAGCCACUUGGCAACCCGACCUGAUUUGUCCGAAAUGACCCUGGGUCACUAAGGAACUGACACGUGUUCCAACGGUCAGAUUUCAAACUCACACGGCAACUUUACUUGGGCUACAAGCAAAGCUGACUUGUCCGACUCUGGACAAGAUUCGCUCUCAUAGUCUUCACUCGAAGACAUAGGUUUUUGGUUUAGGCAUCACUUCAGUCAUUCUGACUGGUUCUCUUGGACCCCACUUAACAGUACGGUGGUUCCUAUGACUCAACACAAAAGAAAAAUAACUACGAAAGAUCUAAGUCUUCGAGCUCCAUAGGCUUCAUAUAGUGUCUUCUCUUGUCAUAGUCUUCAAUGUGAAUAUCUUCAUAUACCACCUUUGACUUCAAUGUCUUCAUACAUUUUUAGGGGUCAUCUCUGGUAGUAAAACCGAAUCAAUGAGGGACUUCUACCUGUGUUAUCCUGCAAUUCUCACAAACACAUUAGUCCCUCAACUAGGUUUGUCGUCAAUACUCCAAAACCAACUAGGGGUGGCACUAGAUGCACUUACAGUUCAUCUUCUCUUUUUCCCGGAGUUCCAACCUCUCUCAAUUAUAUCAUCACAAAGAUUCAUCUAAAUCAUCGCAAGGCUUCACCUUGUGCUUUCAACUUCUCUUUCAUUUCGUUUAAUCAUUCUUUCAUUAUCGGAGUUCUUCAUGGAGGCUCUACAUGAUAUUUCAUCAAGGAUUAAAUUCCUUCUCGAAGUGUUCAUCGAGAUUCUUUUCAAAGGAUCUCAAGUAUUCUUCAUCUUCCAAUCCGGAGUGCAUUUCUUCCUACCGUAUCAUUGGAGAUGGUAUUAUGUCAUUCUUGAUUAUUUGAGUUCAUGUUUCAUGAUUCACAUGUUGCUACGAAUGAGGUAGUUUAAAUCCAUCAACCUCUUCGUUGGAGUUAUCUUGUGUCAUGUCUCACCUAAAGACUUCCCUAAGGAUUGUUGCUAUUUAUGGUGCUCAUAAAUGACUCAAGUUCUUCAUUCAUCCUCCCGGUGGAAUAGUUUUCUCGGCUCCUUGUUCCUAUCAAUCGAAUCUAUUGUUUUCCGUUAGCGGCAAGUUGUCACCUCAUAAUUUUGAGAUGUCUUCUAUAUGUCCAUAACAAGCUUACUCUUUUCGUUGUUGGUUUUCCAACAACUCCGUUCGAACCUUCUCCUAAAAGAUGCUUUUGCAAGCUCAUUUGAGGUAGAAGAUGUUGUUUUCUUCUCCAUCCUUUCAUUCCAAUGUUCCAACUUCUAUUCUUUGCUUCCAGAGGCAUUGUGAUGUUGCUCUCUUCGACCCAUCUUCUUGUUUUGUUAGGAUCGUGUUCUUUUCUUGGUUUAUCCAUUUAAUCGGAGUGUUGUGCCCUUUUGCUCAAGUUCUUUCAUCUUAUCAAGUCUUGCAUCUCUUUUUAACCGGAGUGCUGACCGAAUUUGUUCUACCUUGUUCCUCUUCUCUAACGGAGUGUUGUCAACUUCGUUCAUCUCUGUUGUAUUCUUUUCAUGAAAUGGCUUAACCUUUUCAAGGUUCUUUGGUUUCACUCAUUGGUCAAAGAAGCAACUUAGUUUUACCCCUUAUCUUCUCUUCCGUUUUUCCCUCCGGUGCCAUUCUAGAUCUCGGGAUGAGAUCCUCUCACAGUGGUGGAGUGUUGUAACACCCUGAGACCGUUGUGCCAGGUGUCUUCCAGUUAUUCGCUGUUGUUGCCUUGUCAUUGCUUGCGUGUCAUGCAUUGCAUAUCAUGUCAUCAUGUGCAUCGCAUUUGCAUACAUGUUCGUCUCAUGCAUCGAAGCAUUUUCCCCGUUGUCCAUUUUGCAUUCCGGUGCUCCUAUGUCCUAUGGUGUCCCUUUCUACCUUUUUUCAUGUGCGGGUGUUAAACGUUCUCGGAUUGGACCGAGACGUGCCAAGCGGCCUUGGUAUACUACCGUAGACCGCCUAUCAAGUUUCAUGCCAUUUGGACUUCAUUUGAUAUUCCAAUGGCUAACCGAGGAACCGAAAAGGCCUCGUGUGUGUUGCAGCCCAACGCCCCUUCAUAGUGGACCAAAACCCACCUAAACCCCCUCCAUCAUCUCGGUCGUUCGAUCAUGAUCGCGUGGCCGAAAACCUAUCACCUUCCCUUGGGUUCUGCAGACUCAAGGGUCAUCUUUAUUUUAACCCCCCCGGGCCAGUGCUUCUCUAAGUGUUGGUCCGAACUGAGUAGACCGCGAGGCCACCUCGAGGAAACUUGAGGGUUGGUUUUACUCGUAUGAUGUCUCAUCCGGUGUUGCCCUGAGAACGAGAUAUGUGAUGGGGUUAUGUACCUAGGGUAGGGUCACGGACCUGUCCCAAGUAACUUACCCUAGGACAUCCCUAGAAGAGGUCGCCUUCCAGUCGACCAACGAGGACUCACUCGACCAACGAGGACACACUCGACUGGCCUGAAGGACUCGACCACGAAGACGCACUCGACCACCAGGAGGUCAAGAGACACUCUGCACCGCAACGGUCUGUAAUUAAGUAGACUUUAUGAUAGUAAAGGCACUUUAUGUGGGGCGUUACCAGUAACGCCCCAGACUUAACUCACCUUAAACCUUCUCCUACGUGGGCUGGCUGGGGUCCUGGCGCACUCUAUAUAAGCCACCCCCCUCCACAGGCAGAAGGGUUCGGCACCUUGUAAUCCAUACAUUCAUAAUCCACUCGACCGCCUCUGGGCUCCGAGACGUAGGGCUGUUACUUCCUCCGAGAAGGGCCUGAACUCGUACAUCCUCUGUGCUUACAACCUCUCCAUAGCUAGGACCUUGCCUCUCCAUACCUACCCCCCACUCUACUGUCAGGCUUAGAACCACGACAGUUGGCGCCCACCGUGGGGCAGGUGUUUUAGCGAUUUUGUGGAGAAGUUGCGAUUCUUCCGAGUAUUUUCAUCAUGGUGUCUGCUGGAGUUUUGAUCGAGGGUCAAGAGAUCCGUCUCGGCACUCUCACCUUCAUCGCCGACGACUCCGCAUGGCUCCAAGAGGCUCCACUCGACGUAGAUGCGCUCCCCGUCCGCGGUGCGACGCAUUUUCGCGCAUGUGUCCGCGGCGUUCUGCUGCGGCAACCAUCGACCCAGUAUCGGUCGGUUCCUCCGUCUUCCACCCUCCCGGUCUCCCGCCAGCACAAGCGCUCAGGCCGGUCGAGGCUUCAGCGAUGGGUGAGUCACGUGGUGGCUCGCCAGUCGGCCACUACACAAGUUGCGGCAAUCGAGCCCAACGAAUCUCUCUACGGCUUGUUCGAUCAGUCGACUGGCUCUGGAGAGACUGCAUCCGAGUGCGGAAGCAGUGAUCCAGCGGCGGAAAUCUUGAUGGUCGACGGGCCCCAUAGCCCUCCUGGCUUCGCCCGCGGUGGUGGAGCAGGUGACGGCGGCGACCCUGCUCGAGGUUACGAAGAGUACCAGCCCGAGCCACUCGACUCUUUGCAAAGAGAAGAGCUUCGCCGCAGGAACGAGGACCCCCUGCGCGUUCCCAUCGCAGGGGAAACCCCCGAGGCUCGUGCCUUGGAAGAGGCGCGUCUAGCCAAUUUGGCCGAACGCACUCGACUGGAGAACCUUCAGCGAGCACUCGACGAGCGCGCGCGGCAACGAGUUCCCGACACCAGUCGACGUCAACUCUUCCCACCGACUCAGGUAUAUCGAACCCCAAUUCAGAAUUUAGCAGCUGCGACCCGUAUAGCGGAGUCCAUUCAGCCUUCGCAGUCAGAAGCUGGCAGAGGUUUGCUGCAGAUCAGGGAUCUACUCCGGGCAGCAGGAGAUCAGAAUUCAGCCGUGUCUCAGUCGCGCAACAGAAUUCACAGUCGAUCCGUCACUGUGAAUACGGUUCAGUCGGCUCACAGCCCCAGAUCACCUCCGCGGCGCGAAGGGCGUGAGUAUCGGCGAGAUCAAUAUGGCGACAGGCUCGACCGAGAUGAUAGGCGUCGAGUGCCCUAUUCCCCUCCGAGGGGUGGGUCUUACGCUCCUCGGCAGCCAGAUGAUAGGCGUCAGUUCAGUACAGGGCGUAGAGUUCCAGUUGACCCCAGGGAGCCAGGCUUCGACGCGCGAUCCAUUAUCGUGCAAGGGUUGGUCGACCGGAACAGAGCCCAUCAUGGUGCACUCGACAGAGAAGUGCCCACGAGCAGUCGAGUACAUGUUUCUGGUCCCGAAUGUUUCAGCAGAGCUAUCAGAGCCGCUGUUAUUCCCCCCAAUUUCAGGUUGGCAACAGGAGUCAGCAAGUUCACUGGUGAGUCUAAGCCUGAAACUUGGCUUGAAGACUACCGAGUGGCGGUUCAGAUCGGUGGUGGGAACGACGAGGUGGCCAUGAAGCAUUUGCCCCUCAUGUUGGAAGGUUCCGCCAGGGCAUGGUUGACCCAAUUACCUCCUAGCAGUAUUUACACUUGGGAAGAUCUGUCCCGAGUGUUCGUCAGAACGUUCGAAGGGACUUGCAAGCGACCAGCGGGAUUGACAGAGUUGCAAGUCUGCGUGCAGAAAACCAAUGAGACUCUCAGAGAGUAUAUUCAGAGGUGGAUCACUUUGCAUCACACAGUGGAAAAUGUCUCUGACCAUCAGGCAGUAUGCGCCUUCAAAGAUGGUGUCAAGAACAGAGAACUCAGCUUGAAAUUUGGUCGAACCGGUGACAUGACCUUGAGUCGGAUGAUGGAGAUUGCUACCAAGUACGCCAACGGCGAAGAAGAAGACCGACUCCGAAGCGGCAAGCACAAGCCGAGUCAGUCGGAAAAAGGAAAUUCCAGUCGGAAACAGAAGCGGAUCGACAUUUAUCACUCGGAUGAGUUGCAAUAAAGAACUUCUGUAAUCCAUGGGUUUAGAAAUAAUUGUGUCAGCACUUUUUAUUUUUGUCCACAUAAAAACUCCCCCUCAGUGGGUGGCUUAGCCGCGAAUCCGUUUCGCCUAAGUUUAUAAAAAUCCUACCGAGUGGUAAGCCAGCCUUCCACUCGGGGGCUUAGUCGCGAAUCCGUUUCGCCUAAGUUUAUCAAAAUCCUGCCGAGUGGUAAGCCGGCCUUCCACUCGGAGGCUUAGCUGCAGCCUCGUGCUCGCCUAAGUUACAAAAAUCCUACCGAGUGAAGAGCAAUCCUCUCGCUCGGGGGCUUAGCUGCAGUCCAAGCACUCGCCUAAGUUUAUCAAAAUCCUACCGAGUGGUAAGCCAGCCUUCCGCUCGGAGGCUUAGCUGCAGCCUCGUGCUCGCCUAAGUUACAAAAAUCCUACCGAGUGGUAAGCCAGCCUUCCACUCGGAGGCUNNNNNNNNNNNNNNNNNNNNNNNNNNNNNNNNNNNNNNNNNNNNNNNNNNNNNNNNNNNNNNNNNNNNNNNNNNNNNNNNNNNNNNNNNNNNNNNNNNNNNNNNNNNNNNNNNNNNNNNNNNNNNNNNNNNNNNNNNNNNNNNNNNNNNNNNNNNNNNNNNNNNNNNNNNNNNNNNNNNNNNNNNNNNNNNNNNNNNNNNNNNNNNNNNNNNNNNNNNNNNNNNNNNNNNNNNNNNNNNNNNNNNNNNNNNNNNNNNNNNNNNNNNNNNNNNNNNNNNNNNNNNNNNNNNNNNNNNNNNNNNNNNNNNNNNNNNNNNNNNNNNNNNNNNNNNNNNNNNNNNNNNNNNNNNNNNNNNNNNNNNNNNNNNNNNNNNNNNNNNNNNNNNNNNNNNNNNNNNNNNNNNNNNNNNNNNNNNNNNNNNNNNNNNNNNNNNNNNNNNNNNNNNNNNNNNNNNNNNNNNNNNNNNNNNNNNNNNNNNNNNNNNNNNNNNNNNNNNNNNNNNNNNNNNNNNNNNNNNNNNNNNNNNNNNNNNNNNNNNNNNNNNNNNNNNNNNNNNNNNNNNNNNNNNNNNNNNNNNNNNNNNNNNNNNNNNNNNNNNNNNNNNNNNNNNNNNNNNNNNNNNNNNNNNNNNNNNNNNNNNNNNNNNNNNNNNNNNNNNNNNNNNNNNNNNNNNNNNNNNNNNNNNNNNNNNNNNNNNNNNNNNNNNNNNNNNNNNNNNNNNNNNNNNNNNAAAAUCCUACCGAGUGGUAAGCCAGCCUUCCGCUCGGAGGCUUAGCUGCAGCCUCGUGCUCGCCUAAGUUACAAAAAUCCUACCGAGUGAAGAGCGAUCCUCUCACUCGGGGGCUUAGCUGCAGUCCAAGCACUCGCCUAAGUUUAUCAAAAUCCUACCGAGUGAAGAGCGAUCCUCUCACUCGGAGGCUUAGCUGCAGUCCAAGCACUCGCCUAAGUUUAUCAAAAUCCUACCGAGUGGUAAGCCAGCCUUCCGCUCGGAGGCUUAGCUGCAGCCUCGUGCUCGCCUAAGUUAUAAAAAUCCUACCGAGUGAAGGGCGAUCUUCUCACUCGGAGGCUCAGCUGCAGUCCAAGCGCUCGCCUAAGCACAGGCACCUUGCUUUGAACCUGCAAAGGACAUUUUGAGCCGAAGGCAAUCAUAUUCAAGCGCCAAAUUCAAGUUUGAAUCGAUGUCUAAAGGAACCGAAAGUGCUCAGGCGUCAAGCCUGUUAAAGUUUGUCGGAUACAAUUCCACUCGGCAUACCGAGGCAAAUUUAAAAGAGUCGAGCCAGAAGAAGUUUUUUACCCCUCCUGUGGAGGGCUGGAAGGUGCGACGAAUUCAUCAAGGUCAAUUCCGUCGGCGAUCCGAGUGGCAGCUGCAAGGAAAGUUUCCAUAAAGGACCUGAAGUCGUGCUUCUUGGUAUUGGCCACCCGAAGAGCCGCCAGCUUCUCCUCUCGUGCAUCUUUGCAGUGGACUCGGGCCAGACACAGAGCGACAUCUGCACCACACCGAGCCGAGGACUUCUUCCAUUCCUGCACUCGACCAGGGAUCGUGUUCAAGCGGGCCAUUAAUGACUCAAGGUCAUUCUGAAGUGUCUCCUCAGGCCAGAGCGUCGAGUCGAUGCGAGAUGUGGCGGCCUUCAGCCUUGCGAGAUAAUCCACGACAGCUGCAACGCGAGACUCCAGUCGGAAAAUAUCCAUGGCAACCUCGUCAUUCACCUGAGAAUUGACAGGGUCAAGGUUUGGCUCCAGUCGGCUGGUUUCUUCUUCGAAGUUUUGACAAAAUUCUGCAAGGGUGAUCACUAAGUCAAGGGGAUAGUCGAAUGGAAGAAGCCACAGUCAGAAAUAUUUGCCAAACAUGGAGGUUUACCUUCGAGCAUAAGAAACAGCUUCUUGGCAAAGCCACUCAGGAAGGCCUCCAGUGCAGUCUUCUUCUCAGUCAAUUUGCUGACUUGAUCGGUCAAGGCAGCUUUGUCAGUUCUCAGUCGACUGACUUCUUUGUUGGCAAUCCCAAGAGCAGUUUUCAGGUUGGUAUUGUCUUGUUCAAGCUUGGUGACUGAAGCUAACUUCUCGUCAGCAAGCUUGAUCUUCUCAGCUAGCUCAAGGUCUUUCUUCUGCUGGGCCUCCCUUACCUUACCUGCAAGACACAGCAAGAUCAGAUGUUGAAACAAGCAAGACGAAAAGCAGUCGUCAAGGUCUCACCAAACAUACCUUCAGUCUCCUCCUUCGCCUUUGUCAGCUUCUCCUGAACCAGCUUCAAGCUCAGCUCGACUUGAGUAUGUUUCUGUUCUAGCUCUGAGUAGCGAGCCACAAGAUCACAGGAGUUCUGCGAAGAACCAAUCGACUAAACGUCAAAAAUAAUUCACUUCCGAGUGAAAAAGGGAAAAACACACGUUUCUAAGACUACAGCCGAAUACAAGUAUUCGACCGUAGUCUCGGGGACUACACCCAGUGGGUGCACUCAGCGUGCCCCCACUAAUCCUGUCGAAGACAAAGUCGACCAGUCGACCUCAAAAAAAAAA